GCGUCGAUAGUGUAACAGGUUAGAGCACGCGCUCUCGAAAAGAGUGAGAUGUGUGUUCGAGUCCCGCCUGACGCG